rnacentral:rRNA from 1 species
UACAGAGGUCCCGAGCGUUGUUCGGAUUCAUUGGGCGUAGAGGGUGCGUAGGCGGUUUCCUAAGUUUGAUGUGAAAUCCCGGGGCUUAACCCUGGAAUUGCAUUGAAUACUGGGAGACUAGAGCACUGGAGAGGAAACUGGAAUUUACGGUGUAGCAGUGAAAUGCGUAGAGAUCGUAAGGAAGACCAGUGGCGAAGGCGAGUUUCUGGACAGUUACUGACGCUGAGGCACGAAGGCCAGGGGAGCAAACAGG